rfam:Schizopora paradoxa strain KTC8140 unplaced genomic scaffold SCHPAscaffold_00254, whole genome shotgun sequence.
UGCCCUGUGGCUUAGUUGGCUAAAGCGUGUGACUGUUACAGUACAUCACAAGAUCGAGAGUUCGAGCCUCUCCGGGGCAG